GACGAACGCUGGCGGCGUGCUUAACACAUGCAAGUCGAACGGUGAAGCCCUUCGGGGUGGAUCAGUGGCGAACGGGUGAGUAACACGUGAGCAACCUGCCCCUGGCUCUGGGACAACCACUGGAAACGGUGGCUAAUACCGGAUACGACCCGCCUCGGCAUCGAGUGUGGGUGGAAAGUUUUUCGGCUGGGGAUGGGCUCGCGGCCUAUCAGCUUGUUGGUGAGGUGAAGGCUCUCCAAGGCGACGACGGGUAGCCGGCCUGAGAGGGCGACCGGCCACACUGGGACUGAGACACGGCAGAGACUAAUACGGGAGGCAGCAGUGGGGAAUAUUGCACAAUGGGCGAAAGCCUGAUGCAGCGACGCCGCGUGAGGGAUGACGGCCUUCGGGUUGUAAACCUCUUUCAGCACCGAAGAAGCGAAAGUGACGGUAGGAGCAGAAGAAGCACCGGCUAACUACGUG
rnacentral:rRNA from 1 species